GAGUAAUGUCUGGGAAACUGCCUGAUGGAGGGGGAUAACUACUGGAAACGGUGGCUAAUACCGCAUAACGUCGCAAGACCAAAGAGGGGGACCUUCGGGCCUCUUGCCAUCAGAUGUGCCCAGAUGGGAUUAGCUUGUUGGUGAGGUAACGGCUCACCAAGGCGACGAUCCCUAGCUGGUCUGAGAGGAUGACCAGCCACACUGGAACUGAGACACGGUCCAGACUCCUACGGGAGGCAGCAGUGGGGAAUAUUGCACAAUGGGCGCAAGCCUGAUGCAGCCAUGCCGCGUGUAUGAAGAAGGCCUUCGGGUUGUAAAGUACUUUCAGCGGGGAGGAAGGUGUUGUGGUUAAUAACCGCAGCAAUUGACGUUACCCGCAGAAGAAGCACCGGCUAACUCCGUGCCAGCAGCCGCGGUAAUACGGAGGGUGCAAGCGUUAAUCGGAAUUACUGGGCGUAAAGCGCACGCAGGCGGUCUGUCAAGUCGGAUGUGAAAUCCCCGGGCUCAACCUGGGAACUGCAUUCGAAACUGGCAGGCUUGAGUCUUGUAGAGGGGGGUAGAAUUCCAGGUGUAGCGGUGAAAUGCGUAGAGAUCUGGAGGAAUACCGGUGGCGAAGGCGGCCCCCUGGACAAAGACUGACGCUCAGGUGCGAAAGCGUGGGGAGCAAACAGGAUUAGAUACCCUGGUAGUCCACGCCGUAAACGAUGUCUACUUGGAGGUUGUGCCCUUGAGGCGUGGCUUCCGGAGCUAACGCGUUAAGUAGACCGCCUGGGGAGUACGGCCGCAAGGUUAAAACUCAAAUGAAUUGACGGGGGCCCGCACAAGCGGUGGAGCAUGUGGUUUAAUUCGAUGCAACGCGAAGAACCUUACCUGGUCUUGACAUCCACGGAAGUUUUCAGAGAUGAGAAUGUGCCUUCGGGAACCGUGAGACAGGUGCUGCAUGGCUGUCGUCAGCUCGUGUUGUGAAAUGUUGGGUUAAGUCCCGCAACGAGCGCAACCCUUAUCCUUUGUUGCCAGCGGUCCGGCCGGGAACUCAAAGGAGACUGCCAGUGAUAAACUGGAGGAAGGUGGGGAUGACGUCAAGUCAUCAUGGCCCUUACGACCAGGGCUACACACGUGCUACAAUGGCGCAUACAAAGAGAAGCGACCUCGCGAGAGCAAGCGGACCUCAUAAAGUGCGUCGUAGUCCGGAUUGGAGUCUGCAACUCGACUCCAUGAAGUCGGAAUCGCUAGUAAUCGUGGAUCAGAAUGCCACGGUGAAUACGUUCCCGGGCCUUGUACACACCGCCCGUCACACCAUGGGAGUGGGUUGCAAAAGAAGUAGGUAGCUUAACCUUCGGGAGGGCGCUUACCACUUUGUGAUUCAUGACUGGGGUGAAGUCGUAACAAGGUAACCGUAGGGGAACCU
rnacentral:rRNA from 1 species